CUCCUACCUCCACUUUUGUGAAAUUUAUGCAUGAUUGUAAACAUAAGUAUUCACUAGAGCACUGACGAUCGCCUCAUUUACACCCUCCCAUCUGCCCCUCCCUCUCUGUCCCUCAUGAGUACCUCUCCACCGCCUAUUUAAAGACCACAACCACAAAUGCAUCAACAGAAGCAUAUGUUCUCACGCACACAACACGAGAGAGCGAGUUGGAUCUAUAGCUCCACAUUACCAAGAAGAAGUCUAGGACUGUCACAUCCAUUGGCCUACACGGCCUAGUGCUGGUGGUAUGUGUGUGUGCUAAUUUUUAGUUGUUAUAUUGCACGUGCAUGAUGCUAAUAUACCGAGGUUCUUAUUGCAUUUAAAUACAAGAAGAUAUCUUAUUGAAGGUUUCCUCUUCCUAUUUGAAUUUUGUGAGACUCGUGAGCGAUGCUCAAUUUCAUGAGGAAGAAGACUAUAAACUCAAUAUGUAUAUGUAUUACUUUAUACCAAAAAAUGACCAGAACUACCAACUACAAAAAAGGGAUUCAAUCUAAUAUCUGAAUCAAAUCCUUGCUUUAGGUUGCCCAAGGUGCUACUUUUGAAAAAAACUACCAACUACAAAAAAGGGAUUCAAUCUAAUAUCUGAAUCAAAUCCUUGCUUUAGGUUGCCCAAGGUGCUACUUUUGAAAAAAUAUUGGUUGCCCAUGACGCUACUUUUGACAACAAAAUAGAUGCCACAUAUCAGUGUAUUUUUACCCAGAAAAUCCUUGAGCUUAUAAUUUCUAUACAUUUAUGGAUUCAAUUUAUGUAAAUGCUGCUAUACAGAACCUAGAGUGGGAGGCACCAAUAUAUGCCUCGUCAUUGCGGAGUUGAACUUCAUUAAGAAUUAGGACAAAGACCUAGGUGAUCCAUUGGUGUUGAAUGUUCAAGGUAAGUGUAAUAUUACCCUCCAUUUUAAGUUGGUCAUGUGUCUUAUAGAGGAACCAAAUUCGACUAUUAAAUUGUGGACAGUUCACUUAUAACAUAUAUGAGCAAGCAAUGAAGCAAAUAACAUCACCCGCAAAAACAAUGAAGCAAAUAACAUAAAUGUUCUUGGGCUGCACGCAUCCUCUAGUUGCGGCGAUUAAUGGAGCAUUAUGAUUUUAUAAUAGCAUUUUUCUUUGUGUAUACUUCUCCUAUAGUUCUUAUGAUAAGCACUUAUAGCUAAUAUGCAUUUCAUGAUUAGAUGCUUUUUGGCGGGUAGUAUUAUUAAUAAACCUUUAAAAGAAGGGGGUUUUAGAUACUCGAUCAAUAUAAUGGUUUUCAGUGGUCUGGUGCUCAAUACAAUUGUCUGGUAUUAAAUAAAUAAAAUUACUUUACUUUCACUAAUUGAUUGUCCUUUGCAAUAUUUACCUUCAAUUUUAAAAUAGGAC
rnacentral:lncRNA from 1 species